ensembl:lincRNA AI504432 expressed sequence AI504432
AGACUUGAAAGAACACCUGCAAGCUACAGCCACAUGCUGAGAGCUGCCAGCAGACAGACAGAAUCAGGCCCCUCAAGAGCCCUGCAUAAGGAACUGCAGCGUGACCCUCACGUGACCCUCACCAGAAGGAUGCUCAGUUUCAGGCUGCGUGGAUGAGAGUGCAGUGGCAGUUACAGACUUCCGUCUCAGUUAAUAUUUAGAGAUACAUCUCCAAUUGAUGCUUCACAUGAAGGAAAGAACUCAAAGCUGGAGGGUACUCUUCAUAUGAUGAGUGGUACAAAUGAAAUUGAGCAGGAGAUAAAGAGGAACAUUAAAAUUUAAAGAUAAUAAUAAUAGUAAAUGUUAAGGUAUCAUGUCAACCUAUCGACAUUCUGGUAGAGUCAAAUCGUCCAAAAGCAAUCAUCAGUGUCACAGAUAAAGAUAGCCUAGUGUGUGUUUCUAGCAAGCCAACUAUUGUAGUAUUUUUUUCAUUGAGGUACUGGACUGUAUUUAAUUGUGGGAUAUGUUUCUGUAGUCUAUGUUCUGGAUUAUGUUUAACUUUAUCUGUGAGGGUGUGAAUAUACCAAAGGCUUUCAUUGGUAGAUGAGCCCAUUCACACAAAUAAGUGAAGUCAACACUGUGCCCAGAUGAAUGGUAUUAAAAAUAGACUUGCCUAAAAGAAAUGUGCCUUGCUUGAUGAAACAUUCUUUUAUUUUUUAAUUCAAAAUAAUAGAUUUACAAGUUAGAUUUUAGGUAGGUUUUAGUUGACCUCAAUUUUACAAGAAUAUAUUAGUACUUAUUCUAUGUUUAAGUUGUCUGUGUUACCUAAAUUUUAAUAUUUAGUUAUAUCUAGACAGUUCCUAUAUAUUAAAUUCUAUUUUAUUUUCACAGGAUGUUUGGUAUGGUGAGACAAAGUACAUUCUUAAAGAUAUAUAUAAUAUCUCAUUUGAUGUUUAUAACUUUUUCUUCAAAAUUAUAUGUGUAAAAGAUUCUUUGACUCAUUUUCUAUUUUUAUAUUCUUUUAGAAGUGGAACUCUUUUUCAAUGUAAAAAAAAAAAAAGGCAAAUUUUUAGUUGGAAAAGAGACUUGGGAAGUCGUGAAGAUGGCUUCCCAUUUGGGAACAUUUAACUUUUGUGCCAUUAUUGUAUUUACUGUGACAUCUCAGCAGAAUGGUAGCUAUUUGUAUAUUAUUUCAUAAGCCUUAUGGAAAGUCAAACUGUGAACAUUUAAUAUGUAUACUACUUUACUAGUUUCAGUAGUUUCUUAUCAAAAUAUUCCUGAAUAAGUGAAUGAAAAGUAAUGAGUACUUUUGGAAGCUUAACUACUAUAGAAAUAUAGCAGUCUCAAGGCCAGGAUUUAUGAUGACCUACAAAAAAAUACACUGAUGAAUUUCUUUAUCUAUAAGACGCUUAACUAAAAACCAGUUCAUCCAGUAACUCCAAAAUAGGCAGAAAUACAAUCCAGGUAACUUUCUUUGAGGCAAUGUCUAAAUUGGAUUUUUAAUAAUUUCCUGGUAAUUUCUUCAUGCUCAAAAUUUGGAGGUCGUAUCACUAUAGUUUUGGUGAAGAUAAAUGGAUAACAACUAUCUUUGAUUUGAGUGACAUGAACCUCCAAUUGAGAUGGAUUACGUGAUUAAUCCCUUAAAGUGUGGGUAUAACCACCACCUUGUUUUUGGUAACGUUCACUCAUGCAGUAGAGAUACUAGCAUGGGGAAUAGUCAGCCCUUGGCAAUCAUCUGCCUCCUUAUAAUGAUGGUUACAGCCUGGUUGGCAGAAAAGCAAUCCUGGUAGAUGGAAAAAAAUAGGGGUUCUUAAACUUUCAGGGUUUUUUGUUUUGUUUUGUUUUGUUUUUGGUAAGGAUCAGUAAGUGUUGCAAAGUUAUGCAAUGACACGACUCUAAGCAAUGUAAUAUAUGUAAUAGUAGAUCUGUUUUAUGAUUAUAGGCUACAGUUUCAAAUAAAGACAAAACCUGGAAUUUUACCCACCCACACCAAAGAAAAGCACAGAACAGUAUCAGAUGCAUAACAUACCAAAACAUUCACACCAGGAGCAGUACAAAAUAGCACAGGUUUAGGUUACAGGAUCCUGGCGUUCUUACCCACUGCCUACCUCUGGGACCCCAGCUAAGUCACUAACAUUGCCAGACUUUAGUGUCUUGGAUUACAGAGUGUGUGCACCAGGUUCAGCAGACUCAAAAGCCCUCUCCAGUGACCAAAUCCUAUUAUAUACAUUUCUUUAAAAAUGCUUUGAAGAAUACUUACAUAGGAAGAUUUUUGAUACAUUUCUAAAGAAUAACUCGAAAUAAGAUUUGAACCUUGAAAGUGUAUGAAUAUGUUCCAUUCUUCAAAUUGUAAGAAGGGGAAAUAGGAUUCCUUCUCCUCUAAGAUCUUUCACUCAGCUAUAAUAGGAUCAUGAAAAAAAAAAUGAAGCUGAGGAUCUCUCUGCAGAAGGGAAGCAGAUUAAUUAAAUAGCUAAUGAGGUGGGCUAGAUAUUGGUGACAUUAAUUGGAUGUUAAGGUGAUUUGCAAAGUGUACAUCAAAUGCUGACACAGUUCCAGAACUUUAUUGCACAUUGUGAGAGUAAAAGUGGGAAAGUGUGGGGAAAGACCGGAGAACGGAAGUGUUUGCCUUAUGGUCUCUGUAUUCUCUUUACACAUGGGAGCUUUGGCAGGGAUCUGCACUACAGCGCUGGAUCUACCAAUCACUCAUCUGUCCCGGGAAAAUCCCUUUAACUUUGCAGAACUCCCAUUUCUUAAUCCUUAAAGGGAACAGUUUAAUUUAGAAUUUGAUAGUCUUCAUCUUUCUUUUCAUCUCUUAAUAAUCUGUGGCAUUUCAAGAUUCUUAAAAUACAGCCAUCCAGACAUAUAUGCGUUGUUCCCCCCAUCAGUCACGAGGAUAUCGCAGAGGUCUCAAGUAACUGAAUCGAUUACAAACUCAAACAUUUAUUUUUUCUAACACUGCUAUUUGACCUCAACAAGACCAGAAAUACUUUGACCUCAUUUUCAUUCUGAUAUGGAUGAAUUAUUAAAAUUUGCCAUUUUAUCUUUUAAUGCUGGGUUCAUCCAACAAACAAAUGUCUUCUCAAGUUAGUCUGCACACUUUUUGUAAUUUAAUAAUAAUAUUGUACAUACCAAUGAACUAUAACUGACAGGGUACAAUUCUGUCACAUUUCAAAGUUAAUGCCCUUUUGGUCAUAGAAGCUAUAAUACAAAAGAAUAUUCAUAAAAUUUUGUGAAUUUUUAAAUACACAGGAGGCCUGAUAGAGCCAUGCUGUAGUUAGUCUUGCUCAGGAGUGAGAAAACCAUUCAGGGAUAACCCAAACACUUCUGUUUGGCAUUAGUGAACAAAUGGAGAAAGAAGGGUUGUAUCUUUUGCACAACAAGGGUAACAGGUGACGGUACCCAUGAAAACGGAAGUAUUUUUUGGUGGCUGGUUUUAAUAUAGGAAGACAUAGGUUAGAAGAAUGCCAGAAUUCAGACACUAGAAAAAUUAUUAAAGUGGUAGCGGUCCAUUGAAUAACACAGAAAUAUUUUGUCAUAUUGAGAUUAUAUGUCCAGAAAGUUAGUCUCAUAUCCCUCCCAUUCAUAAAAGGGGCCACGUUUCAGAAUGCCUCUGUCACAAUAGGAGAUGUAUAUUUUGACUAGUGGAGCAGUUAGCUAAAGCAUUUAAUCUGAUAUUUAGUUUUGUGAAUCUGAAUUUUCAUCUUAGGUGUAACUUAGUGUCUUGCAUAUGUGAUAGUAUCUGUGAUCAUGAGAACUUGUUUCAUGAAUUCUUUUGAAGUUGAAAACUGUGCUAAGUGGUGAUUCCAGCAUACUGUGUUAAUACUGUAUCUGACAACCAUUUGUGAACUGAAUACACUAAACAAUCCAUAGUGUUUCUCUUCUGGUAAAUUUAUUCUGUGGUGUGAUCAUUUUGUGCUGGGAGGGUGGGGGUGGGGAAGGUUAAGUAUUUAGUUUACUUAAAAUAUCAAAGUGUUUUUUAAAUGCCAUACAAUUGUGUGGCAAUAAACCAAAUAGAAAAUGCUCUUUUUUCAACUGUGAGAGAACUGUGUAGACUACUUUGGGGCUACCCCAUAAAUGCUGUCAUUUGUGUUUUUAAAAAACAUAUAUAUUAUAUAUACAUAUAUAUAUAUAUACCAUACAAUAUAUACCACAUACAAAGGAAAGCAAACAGUGCAUGUAGUGUUUCUUGGAGUCUACGUGUGUUUUAUUUACAUAGACUACUUAUACAUUGCAAAGAUCAUCAAAAUGUUCUAUAUAAAUUUCUAAAACACUCUUCACAUGAAUAACUAAUAUCAUCUAAAGCUAAGAGAUUGAAUUAAUCAAGGUUUUGAGGAAUCAAAUAUCUUAACUAAUGUGCCCGUAGUGGCUCUAAAUGUCAUUCUUUUUACACUUUUCAUCCUGGCAUGUACCCUAUCACUGCCGUUGUACUUCAAACUGAAACUUUAAAAGAUGUGUUGAAAUUUUCAGGUUUUAAUGGAAAGGAGUCAUUGGGGUUGUUAGAUCUUUUUAGAUAACUUCCAGACUGUAUCUACCUACAUGGAAUACCCAAAAGUACAUACUAAGUUCCCACACCCAAACUGCACACCCUUAUACUCAUUUAAUGCCAUCAUGCUAAACUAAAAAUAUGUUUCUUCAACUAUCUCUUUCACUUGCUUUUCAAAAAUCUCAAAAAUCCCAUUGUAACAACUAAUUUCUGAACAGUCUUUUUAAAGCAGCUAGAAAAUUUGCAGCCGUUCUGAUUCAGAGGGGAAAAGCUAGGCUCUCACAGCAAUCUUUUUUUUUUUUUUUUUUUUUUUUUUUUAGCCUCUUUUUUCUUAUAGAGUAGGGGAACGGCAGAAAGGGAGGCUAGCAAAGAAGUGUAUUUUUUAAAAAACUACAUUUCCAGUAACUAUAUGGNAAAAACUACAUUUCCAGUAACUAUAUGGAAAUACUGAAUGAUUAAGUCAUAGCACUAUUGUUAACAUUAGCCACAGUUCAAAUACUGGUAAGCUUUUCAAGAUUUAAUGAUGUACUUAAGGAUUUUCCCAGGUUAAAUUGCAAUCCAAUGACUUUCUCNGUUUAACUAUGAAGAACAUUCAUGUUUUAAUCCCUGUCAGAUACUACAUUGUUUUUGUUCUCAAACAUCAGGUAGACACUAAUCUGCUUUCCCUUGUAACUCAGCAAGAGNCUGUGAUGUGUUCUGUCUUUCUCCNUGCGAUGCAGUGNUACUGUGAAUAUUUAAAAGGAACAUGUGCUUAUUAUANUAGUAUUNAAUAUUUUAUGACUUUGACUUUGGUUUUCCUCAUCAAAUAGAUAAGUUAUGCAAGUAUUAUCUUGUAUUAAAUGAAGUAAUAUUUAUUCCUAAUAACAACAGAAUUCUAACCAUGAUGUAAAACCAAAUGUGCAUUUUAUAUUUUUAUAAUCAUUUUCUUUUGCCAUUGAUUUAGAUCUACUUACCACACCACAAUAUAAAGUUACCUUCUUAUACCAUGUUCUCUGCUUAACUUGAGGCCUUCUGUUGAGUAAAUACCUAUGAGUUUGGAUUGUGUGAUAUUUUCUUAUAGUCAGCACAAGUCCAUUUGUCAUUGGACUUGAAGUGUUUGUUGCACAUGUUAAAAACAGAAUCCAAUAAAACACCUGGAAACAUCCUGUUGCAGUAAUAAUUCCGAAA